rnacentral:rRNA from 1 species
GAUGAACGCUAGCGAUAGGCUUAACACAUGCAAGUCGAGGGGCAGCAUGGUCUUAGCUUGCUAAGACUGAUGGCGACCGGCGCACGGGUGCGUAACGCGUAUGCAACUUGCCUCACAGAGGGGGAUAACCCGUCGAAAGACGGACUAAUACCGCGUACACUCCAUCUUGGGCAUCCAAGGUAGAGGAAAUGAAAUUCGCUGUGAGAUAGGCAUGCGUCCCAUUAGCUAGUUGGUGAGGUAACGGCUCACCAAGGCGACGAUGGGUAGGGGAACUGAGAGGUUGAACCCCCACACUGGUACUGAGACACGGACCAGACUCCUACGGGAGGCAGCAGUGAGGAAUAUUGGUCAAUGGGCGAGAGCCUGAACCAGCCAAGUCGCGUGAAGGAUGACUGUCUUAUGGAUUGUAAACUUCUUUUAUACGGGAAUAACAAGAGUCACGUGUGACUCCCUGCAUGUAUCGUAUGAAUAAGCAUCGGCUAACUCCGUG